rnacentral:rRNA from 1 species
ACUCCUACGGGAGGCAGCAGUGGGGAAUAUUGGACAAUGGGCGAAAGCCUGAUCCAGCCAUGCCGCGUGUGUGAAGAAGGCCUUUUGGUUGUAAAGCACUUUAAGCGAGGAGGAGGCUACUUAGAUUAAUACUCUAGGAUAGUGGACGUUACUCGCAGAAUAAGCACCGGCUAACUCUGUGCCAGCAGCCGCGGUAAUACA